AACGAACGCUGGCGGCAGGCUUAACAUAUGCAAGUCGAACGCCCCGCAAGGGGAGUGGCAGACGGGUGAGUAACGCGUGGGAACAUACCCUUUUCUACGGAAUAGCUCUGGGAAACUGGAAUUAAUACCGUAUACGCCCUACGGGGGAAAGAUUUAUCGGGGAAGGAUUGGCCCGCGUUGGAUUAGCUAGUUGGUGGGGUAAAGGCCUACCAAGGCGACGAUCCAUAGCUGGUCUGAGAGGAUGAUCAGCCACAUUGGGACUGAGACACGGCCCAAACUCCUACGGGAGGCAGCAGUGGGGAAUAUUGGACAAUGGGCGCAAGCCUGAUCCAGCCAUGCCGCGUGAGUGAUGAAGGCCUUAGGGUUGUAAAGCUCUUUCACCGAUGAAGAUAAUGACGGUAGUCGGAGAAGAAGCCCCGGCUAACUUCGUG
rnacentral:rRNA from 1 species